rnacentral:hammerhead_ribozyme from 1 species
AGCCGAAACGGGCUUAGGCCCGUCCGCAGGGACUGACCGCCUUGCGCUGAUGAUGGCAGGUCACU